rnacentral:lncRNA from 1 species
AUGGGUAGUUUCAGAGGUGAAUGAAUCUCCGAGCUCUUUGUGAGGAUUGGCUCAGAGCACAGAAACCACGCCUUACCCCGAGUGGGUGAGAGCCAUUCUAAACUUUGAUUGGUUGGGCAUGUCCCGGCGAGCCGAGGGAAUUUCCCCCCUCCUUCUUUUCCUCCAUUCACAAAGUCAAUGAAACAAAGAGAAACAGAAUAGAGUCUGUUUUCUGUGAAAGAGGAAACGAGCCCGGGCUGGAGACGGGAGCAACCCUGCCCGGCUCAGUCCCACGAGAAGCAGCGUAUCCCUGGUAUCUGCAAUCAGCUGCCUUGGUGGAGGCGGCGGCGGCCGACCAGGAAGACCUGAAUUAACCCCCCUUUUUCCCUCCCCACUCUCAGGGUGCGUCAACUGCAGUGAAUAAACACAAAAAGCAAGGGCCUGAAAAUCUCUUCUAGUUGUAUGUAAGUAGAAUGGUGUAAUUUAAAAAAAAUCUGAAUUAUAUGGUUCCUUUUUCUUAUGAAUAUGCUUAUCUCAUAAGUUAUUGGCUUCUUGCUUUUUUGCUUUUGCUCUUCCUUAUGAAGCCAUGUCCCUUCACUUUCAGUGAAAUUCCUUCACUUUCAUUUAAUCAUUUUCCUUCCUCCCCCCCUUCCUCCUUUAGCAUCUACUGCCUGCCCUCCAUGCCUGUGAGGAAUUCACACCCAUGACUGAUGGGAGGAUGAAAAGCUAUUUGGACCAGCAAGUGCCUUACACUUCUGCACAGAAAUUAUCAGGGAAUGGAACCCUGGAUUGUAGAGCUAUGAUGGCAGCACGGAGGAAAUCCAUGGAUCCUGGCGUGCCCCAUGUCCCAGACUCAGAAGGUGUGUAUGGGGGAGUGGGUAUCAGAGAAAGAUGUAUUGCAUGCUCCGUGAUACCCUCCCUACGUCUGGAAUGUUUUGUGUCCUUUGCACUACAGCUCCCAUCACUCCAAUAAUGGUGUGGGGAAUAAUGUCAGCAUCCUGUAGGAAUCAUGCAGCAUCACUAAGCAGUCACACAAGCAACCCUACCUCUGCAGCUGCCUGCCCAUCAUUCUGACCUUCCUGGUCUGGUUGGGAAAGCAAUUGUGCGCCUGUCUGCAAGAUCAAUGAGCUUUGUAGUCCAGCACUUCUGUCUAGAAGGCACCAGAUUGUACCAAAGACUGGUCUGAGGAGAACAUUGGAACAGAGCAGAAUGAUGCAUGCCCUUGCUGGCUGACAGAAGCUUGAC